rnacentral:rRNA from 1 species
GACGAACGCUGGCGGCGUGCUUAACACAUGCAAGUCGAACGGAAAGUCCCUGCUUUUGUGGGGUGCUCGAGUGGCGAACGGGUGAGUAACACGUGAGUAACCUGCCCUUGACGGUGGGAUAACUUCAGGAAACGGGUGCUAAUAGCGGAUAGGAGCUCCUGCUGCAUGGUGAUGGUUGGAAAGUUUCGGCGGUGUGGGAGGUGCUCGCGGCGUAUCAGCUAGUUGGUGGGGUAGUGGCUUACCAAGGCUUUGACGCGUAGCCGGACUGAGAGGGUGACCGGCCACAUUGGGACUGAGACACGGUCCAGACUCCUACGGGAGGCAGCAGUAGGGAAUCUUCCGCAAUGGGCGAAAGCCUGACGGAGCAACGCCGCGUGAGUGAUGAAGGUCUUCGGAUCGUAAAACUCUGUUAUUAGGGAAGAAAAUACGUGUAAGUAACUGUGCACAUCUCGACGGUACCUAAUCAGAAAGCCACGGCUAACUACGUG